rnacentral:rRNA from 1 species
AGUGACCUGCGGAGGAUCAUUAU